ensembl:lncRNA
AUAGAGAGAGAAGGGGGAAUGUGAUAGGUAGAGAGAGAGACAUGAGAGAGUGGGGGAUGGGAUAGGUAGAGAGAGAGACAUGAGAGAGGGGGGGAAUGGGGAAUGGGAUAGGUAGAUAGAGAGACAUGAGAGAGGGGGAAUGGGAUAGGUAGAGAGAGAGAGAAGGGGGAUUAUUCACUUUGUAUGUUGUCUACCUCACUUGCUUUGGCAAUGUUAACACAUGUUUCCCAUGCCAAUAAAGCCCUUGAAUUGAAUUGAAUUGAGACAUGAGAGAGGGAGGAUGAGAUAGGUAGAGAUAGAAACACGAGAGAGGGGGGAAUGGGAUAUGUAGAGAGAGAGAGAGAGAGACAUGAGAGAGUGGGGAAUGGGGAAUGGGAUAGGUAGAGAGAGAGACAUGAGAGAGGGGGAAUGGGAUAGGUAGAGAGAGAGAGAAGGGGAAUAGUGAAAAUGAAAUAGAGAGAGAGAACAUUUCCUGUCUUGGGCUGAAAAUGUUGAGAGAGUGCUUACAUACAUACAUGUAUAGUAUAGAUCAAGA